rnacentral:lncRNA from 12 species
CAAGGACUUACAGGCUGUCUACCAAAAGAAUAAUCUGAACAGUGUUUGUUUCUUGCUGCCUCAGGUUUCAGAUACAGAAAACGUCCUGGGGAUAGUUCAGGCUGAAAACAUCGAAAUCUCUGUAGAAGUCUAUGAUGUUGCUCUGAACAUUGAAAUGCCUGAAGGUCCAGAUGGAAGCUUGGAGUUUGGAACUAUUAAUGUCCUGGAAAAUGUGAAGAAAGUCCUGACUCUAAAGAACAAAGGGAUAUACAACGUUGGGUACCGGUGAGUCCAGCUGCCAGGCAGCAAGCAUUUCCUCAGGUUCAUAGGCCUGCCUUCUCCCUCUGUCAGUGGCUAGAACCUGUUUCCAUGCUGGUUACCUCGUGGUAAAUACAAAACCUCAGCUCUCUAAUCUCAACUAUUUUACCAGAGAAUCCAG